AUCCUUUUGUAAUUCAUCUAUAUGAAGACUGGAUUUUCACAUGCAUGUAUAAGUGGUGCCUCCCUCAAAUCUUAUUACAAAUGUUGGUACAUUACCUGUCUGAUG
ensembl:snoRNA